UGAUUACAUGCAUGUUGCAGCUUUUCCCUGCUUUUCAAGUCUCGUCGUCUUGCUUUUCCCUGCUUUCAUGCAACAUGCUUACAUGCGUGAUUUGCAGAGGCCAAUAUAAGCAGUACGCAUCAUCUAAAUUGGCCUCACAAGUUCGAUAGCGCUGGAAGCUGCUGCAUGCCGUAGAGUUCAUCUGAAUCUGCAGGCUGCAGCUUCAUGGAUGGAACUCGAUCAGUCAGUAGUCGGCACCAAGGUUUAUGGGCCGAAUUUCACUGAAUUUCGCCCAUUUCGGUUAGGCCCGAGACAAAAAAUAAACUGGCGAAAAAAAUUCGGCUCAAUUUGAAUUUGUAGCCCAGCCCAAGGUCCAUUACAGCCCACAAAUACCUCUUCUCACUAUAAAACUCGGGACUCCAACCUGAAACUCUAGAAAUUCCCUGCUGGCGGCCGCCGCCAACAGGCCGCGGAGGCGCGGUCGAGACGGGAGCGGAAGAGGGUUUCCCCGUCAACCUCCUCGAAGAUCUGCCCAUCUCCUUCCUGGCCCUGCUCAUGGAGGCAUCACGAAGUUAGUUGGUCAGUGCCCGUGUACGCAGCGGGUUGGUCGGCAACAGGGGCAGCGCCGGCGGUCAAGGCGUCGAACACGUCGGAGUUGGUCACGAUGCGCCGGCAAGAGCUGCAGUAUCAUCUUAGGCUCAAUUGGACUCUAAAAUGUGUUAACUGGACUGUCGUGUGGACUGUGGUGCAUGUAGUAUCAUCUUUCUUAUUCUCUCUUGAUGCUUAUAUUAUCUAUUUUGAAGCAAUCGCUCGAAAAAUAUCUGUUGCUUUAUUUGUAAAAAAUUCGGUCAAAAUUCGGUCAAAAUUCGAAUGAAGUUCAAAUUGUUUGACCGGUCAA